GGAGAGGGCUAGCGUUAUUCGGAAUUAUUGGGCGUAAAGGGCGCGUAGGCGGAUUAGUAAGUUAAAAGUGAAAUCCCAAGGCUCAACCUUGGAAUUGCUUUUAAAACUGCUAUCUAGAGAUUGAAAGAGGAUAGAGGAAUUCCAGGUGUAGCGGUGAAAUUCGUAAAUAUUAGGAGGAACACCAGUGGCGAAGGCGUCUAUCUGGUUCAAAUCUGACGCUGAGGCGCGAAGGCGUGGGGAGCAAACAGGAUUAGAUACCCUGGUAGUCCACGCUGUAAACGAUGAAUGUUAAAUAUGGGGAGUUUACUUUCUGUAUUACAGCUAACGCGUUAAACAUUCCGCCUGGGGACUACGGUCGCAAGAUUAAAACUCAAAGGAAUUGACGGGGACCCGCACAAGCGGUGGAGCAUGUGGUUUAAUUCGAUGCAACGCGAAAAACCUUACCACUCCUUGACAUGGAAAUUAUACCUAUUCGAAGGGAUAGGGUCGGUUCGGCCGGGUUUCACACAGGUGU
rnacentral:rRNA from 1 species